rnacentral:lncRNA from 10 species
UCUGGCCUUCCUACAUAUCUAAGAAAGAACUUUAAGCCCUUGGAUUCACAAUUCACUGAGGGAAGAAUCCCAGAGGAAAUCAUUUCGUUCACGCGUACUCCCAGCAAUGUUUCCACUCUCGAGCUGUAAGCACCGUGAGGCAAGUCAGCCUGAGCAAUCGUUGGCAGUCUUCUGAGUUUAAAGUGUUGUGCCAGAAGCUUCUUCAUCUUGCCUCCAGUUGGGUGCCCAGAAUUGCCACCCUCAUUUGGCAUCUGAGUCAGUGCAUCUAAGCAGACACUCCAGUAUCAUUUAAGAAAACCUCUCUAUGAAGCUCAGGCCAAAAUCAGACCCUGAAAGGAUCUGUCUCGGAUGUGCCCAACCUCAUCUUGAUUUGUCUGAUGGAAAUGCCUCACCCUGGCCAUGGGCUCCAGAUAGCGUUUUGGUCACCCAAAUCCCCCCGACUCCUGUUCUUCACAGUGUGGGUGUGCAUGUAUUCGGGGGUGGGGGUGCAUAUUUGUGUGUGUGUGUGUGUGUGUGUG